UUCAGGCCAGCAUCGUUUUUGGUGGUUGGAUAAAGGCCUUGGGAAUGUAGCUUCUUUCGGGGAGUGUUAUAGCCCUCGGUGCAAUGCAGCCUACCGGGAACGAGGACCGCGCUUCGGCUAGGAUGCUGGCGUAAUGGUUGUAAGCG
rnacentral:rRNA from 1 species